AGUUUGAUCCUGGCUCAGGACGAACGCUGGCGGCGUGCUUAACACAUGCAAGUCGAACGGAAAGGCCCUUCGGGGUACUCGAGUGGCGAACGGGUGAGUAACACGUGGGUGAUCUGCCCUGCACUUUGGGAUAAGCCUGGGAAACUGGGUCUAAUACCGAAUAGGACCACGCGCUUCAUGGUGUGUGGUGGAAAGCUUUUGCGGUGUGGGAUGGGCCCGCGGCCUAUCAGCUUGUUGGUGGGGUAAUGGCCUACCAAGGCGACGACGGGUAGCCGGCCUGAGAGGGUGACCGGCCACACUGGGACUGAGAUACGGCCCAGACUCCUACGGGAGGCAGC
rnacentral:rRNA from 1 species